rnacentral:ribozyme from 12 species
UUUUUUUUUUUUUUUUUUUUUUUCUUUUUUUUUUUUUCGUUGCUAAAUGGGAACAUUAUGUUAACAUCCUAAACUAGAAAAGGAAGGGUACUGAUCAAAGGGUGCACAACAAUGCACAUCAGAGUAUGAAAUCAAAAAUUGCCUUCAGAAGGUAUAUGGAUGAAAGAAAUAC